rnacentral:rRNA from 1 species
GGCGGAGUCGCGGCGUGCUCUGAGCGUAGUAGAUGUCUUCUCGCUUUGGUAGCGCCCGCGGCAGCUAGCCGUUAACACACGAUAGGGGCUUACCCCCCUAUCUCUUAGUGGUUGACCUCGGAUUAGGUAGGAAUACCCGCUGAACUUAA